rnacentral:rRNA from 1 species
GGCUUAUGCCUGCACCAUCGACCGACCAUGAUCUUCUGUGAAAGGUUUGAGUACGAGCAUACCUGUUGGGACCCGAAAGAUGGUGAACUAUGCCUGAGCAGGGCGAAGCCAGAGGAAACUCUGGUGGAGGCUCGUAGAUGUGCUGACGUGCAAAUCGCUUUUCGGACUUGGGUAUAGGGGCGAAAGACUACUAGUAGCUGGUUCCCUCCGAAGUUUCCCCCAGGAUAGCUGGAGCUUGAUCAGUUUUAUCGGGUAAAGCGAAUGAUUAGAGGUACCGGGGAUGAAACAUCCUCGACCUAUUCUCAAACUUUAAAUAGGUAAGACGUCUGGGUUGCUUAAUUGAACCCAGGCACUCAAUGAGAGCUCCAAGUGGGCCAUUUU